rnacentral:rRNA from 1 species
AGCCGCGGUAAUACGUAGGUGGCAAGCGUUGUCCGGAAUUAUUGGGCGUAAAGGGCGUGUAGGCGGCCAUUUAAGUCAGCUGUGAAACCUCUGGGCUCAACCCAGAGCUUGCAGUUGAAACUGGGUGGCUUGAGUGCAGGAGAGGACAGUGGAAUUCCUAGUGUAGCGGUGAAAUGCGUAGAUAUUAGGAGGAACACCAGUGGCGAAGGCGGCUGUCUGGACUGUAACUGACGCUGAGGCGCGAAAGCGUGGGUAGCAAACAGGAUUAGAUACCCUGGUAGUCCACGCCGUAAACGAUGGGUACUAGGUGUAGGAGGUCUCGACCCCUUCUGUGCCGGAGUUAACACAAUAAGUACCCCGCCUGGGGACUACGGCCGCAAGGCUAAAACUCAAAGGAAUUGACGGGGGCCCGCACAAGCGGUGGAGCAUGUGGUUUAAUUCGACGCAACGCGAAGAACCUUACCAGGUCUUGACAUCCUCUGACAACCCAAGAGACUGGGCUUUCCGCCUUCGGGUGGACAGAGAGACAGGUGGUGCAUGGCC